UACGGAAGGUGCGAGCGUUAAUCGGAAUUACUGGGCGUAAAGCGCACGUAGGUGGUUUUAUAAGUCGGAUGUGAAAGCCCCGGGCUUAACCUGGGAAUUGCAUCUGAUACUGUCUGACUAGAGUAUGCUAGAGGGAAGUGGAAUUCUAGGUGUAGCGGUGAAAUGCGUAGAUAUCUGGAGGAACACCAAUGGCGAAGGCAACUUCCUGGGGCAAUACUGACACUGAUGUGCGAAAGCGUGGGGAGCAAACAGG
rnacentral:rRNA from 1 species